UGGGGAAUAUUGGACAAUGGGCGCAAGCCUGAUCCAGCCAUGCCGCGUGAGUGAUGAAGGCCCUAGGGUUGUAAAGCUCUUUCACCGGUGAAUAUAAUGACGGUAACCGGAGAAGAAGCCCCGGCUAACUUCGUGCCAGCAGCCGCGGUAAUACGAAGGGGGCUCGCGUUGUUCGGAUUUACUGGCCGUAAAGCGCACGUAGGCGGACUUUUAAGUCAGGGGUGAAAUCCGGGGGCUCAACCCCGGAACUGCCUUUGAUACUGGAAGUCUUGAGUAUGGUAGAGGUGAGUGGAAUUACGGGUGUAGAGGUGAAAUUCGUAGAUAUUCGGAGGAACACCAGUGGCGAAGGCGGCUCACUGGACAAUUUCUGACGCUGAGGUGCGAAAGAGUGGGGAGCAAACAGG
rnacentral:rRNA from 1 species